UGGGUAAUCAACCCCUGGCACCGGGAUAGCCCGAGGAAACUCGGAUUAAUACCGGAUAGCCCCUCCGACUCUCGAGUCGGUCGGGAAAGGUAGCUUAGGCCUCUGGCCGGGGACGAGCCCGCGGCGGAUUAGCUUGUUGGUGGGGUAAUGGCCUACCAAGGCAACGAUCCGUAGCUGGUCUGAGAGGACGAUCAGCCACAUUGGGACUGAGACACGGCCCAAACUCCUACGGGAGGCAG
rnacentral:rRNA from 1 species